GAUAAACGCUGGCGGCGCACAUAAGACAUGCAAGUCGAACGAACUUAAUACAUUCUUUUAGAUUGUAAGCGGUUAGUGGCGGACUGGUGAGUAACGCGUGAGUAACCUGCCUAUUAGAGGGGAAUAACAGUGAGAAAUCAUUGCUAAUACCGCAUAUGCUCACAGUAUCGCAUGAUACAGUGAGAAAAGGAGCAAUCCACUAAUAGAUGGACUCGCGUCUGAUUAGCUAGUUGGUGAGGUAGAGGCUUACCAAGGCGACGAUCAGUAGCCGGACUGAGAGGUUGAACGGCCACAUUGGGACUGAGACACGGCCCAA
rnacentral:rRNA from 1 species